CCUGGGACCUGUAGUCCUCUAGGCGUUUGUCGACGCGGUGGGAAGCGUAGCCGGCCUCCCGCCAUGGCCCGGCCGCCGGGCACGCGCUGUUGCAGAGGAAAACUCCGAAUAAAAAGCGGAGGCAGAAUUUGCCUCCUGAAGAUUUUGCAGGCCGGGCGCACGCUUGGGCUGGGCCACUUCGGCUGCACCACUCUCCUUCGCCCUAAAAACACGAGCGCCAGGCGUGCGAUGGAAGGAUAACCUGGCAGGCGGGGGGGUUGGCACCAGGUCGGAGGGACGAGCCGCCCUUGCCGCCCCACUGCUGGGAUUUCGGGGCGGACUGGGGAGCGCCGGGGCUGGGAGCGAGGUCUCACCCAUCGCUUCGGCACUGCCGCGGGGCGGCCACGGCCCUCCCACUUGUCACGUUUUCUUCCGCUUCAGACCUUAGCUGUUGACCGCUGUUUUCUGAGAGGAAAUCCGUCGAGAUCCACACGUGGCCUGACCUUAUUUGGCCGUUUCUGGCUUUCUAACGUAAAAUUGCCAUUGGUUAUGUGUUGCGCUGUGGCAGACGCUAGCCACCACUCUUCCGCGCAAGCAGUAAUUAAAUCCACACCCUAAAACCGUG